UGUGUGUGUUCUGACUGCUCCUCCUCAGUAAGUUCUGAGGUGGAGAUUUGAAGGCAGGCGUCCUACCAGAACAGUGCACAGUUCUGUGGGGUUCUGGCAUUGCUAUGAAGUUACCUCAUUAUUAAAACCUGCAGCGAACUCUUUUGAUUUCAGCCUUUUAAACUGUAUCCUAUUGAAGCGUGUUGCACAUUCCCCAGGAUGUAGGGCAGCAGAGAAGCCUGCCUUUCUGUGCAGCUGCUGUUUGUAGCACUGCUAUGCUGAUGACCUUUCUGUUUCCAGAACAACUAUUGAAUGGUCAGAAUCUCAUGACAGAGGCUAUGGAAAUCUUCAGUCUGUUAAAAUGGAGCACUAUGCAUUUAAUGAUUUGUCUCUCAAAAUUGCCUUUCCGUAUUCUGCCACCAAGGCAACUGUGAGCAUAUUGUUGUCAUCACGGAGAUAAGGUAAGUUACUGCUGUUUGGGUCUUGCCAGGUGGUUAACAGCAAGCCUGCAGUAGACAAACUUCAGACAUUAAAUGCUAAGUAUCUCUUAGACUAACAUGAAGAUUAUUCUGUUGCCAUCUGCAGGGUUUAUUUAAGACUUCAGUCAGUCAGUACGUAUGUAACUACCUUGGCUAAGAGGAAAGUACUUCUCCCUUGCAUUUUCUUUUUUUUCCCAAUAAUUUGUUCUGUGUAAGUAGCCUUGUUUCCAACUGGCAUGACAUGACUGUAGUAUGGGAGGAAUUGCACGCAUGGUGAAAAGUCUUUUGUGUGCAGAGCCAGUGUGUGGCAAAUCUACAUAUGAAUUUUGGAUGGUUUGGGAAUGUGGAUAGUGGCUCUGGGUAGAGUCAACUAGACUUGUUAGUUUAGGCUUUGUGCCAAGCAGCAGGAAUUGCAAAAAGAUUGGAGGAAUGGAAAUAAUAGGCUGAGGUGAAUGGACAAGGAGGAGAGGGGAGAAGGUGAUGGUGCCUGUGAGGUGGCAAUUACCUCAGCAAUAGAGCUGUUACGUAUAUUCUGCUUAAUGUAUGAUGUGUAGAGAGUGCUCCUCUGAAUGCCUGUAAAUCAAUUGCUGUUCCUAUAAGCCUGAUGUAGCUAGGUACUGUUAAUAAGUAGUAUCUCCAAAGAUUUGUACAACCCGAAGAAGAGUCUCAAGGUUAUGAACGUCUGAAUGUUUCCCUGUUGAUGCUUGUGCCCAUUGCUCUAUGUGGGAGGCAUAAGCUUUGAAGCUUCAGUACUCUGAAUUACCUCUUUGAGUGUCUAAGAGAGAUGGUCAGAGAACCUGCGUUAGUAACACAAACUAAAGUUACUCCUGACCAUAAGAGCCACAAGUGUUACAACUAGCAGUCAGAUCUCCAAGUCUUCAUCUGCUUUAAGAAAUGCUAAGAGGUGAAGUCGUAGUUUGCACUGGAGUUGAAAUGAUGCCCUGUACUCUGUGUAUGUCAUGUUCAGAUCAGCGUCAGUGUGGCUGAACCUUUAUUUUUUAUUUGUUUAUUUUCCUUAAGGCUUAUUCGUUAUGAUUGCCUGGACAGGAACCUUCAUCUUGUUGAUCAAGAAACACUGAUUAUGUGCCAGAAAAUGCUUUGUAUGCAAAAUGUGUGCAGCCAGAAUUCAUCGGGAGGUGAUUCAGGAUGAUCAAAGAACUGCAGUAGUGAAGAGGGUAAUUCAUUGGCUCAGAUUCUCUUGCAUGAAUAGAGCUAGAUUCUUGAUGAGUUCCUUAACUUUUGUGAGUAAGUAACAAAAACUUUUUUUUAAUCUGGCUGUUGAUAAAAUGUAACACAUUCCCUCCCUUAUGACAAGACACGUGAUUUAAAUUCAUUUGCUG
rnacentral:lncRNA from 1 species